GGUGCUGUGGCUUAGUUGGUUAAAGCGCCUGUCUAGUAAACAGGAGAUCCUGGGUUCAAAUCUCCCAGCAGUGCCU
rnacentral:tRNA from 1 species